UAACGCGACAAUUGGAGCAAGCGAGACGACCAGAAUCGGAGCUUUCGGUGCAACGAGCCGUAAGAUCGGCGAGCCUCGGCGUUGCUCGGACGCCCUCGGCUGUGGCUUGGUGAAAUGCGCCAAGGGUGUGGGAGAAUCGGUGGCUCAGUCCGUCACCGUGCGUUCCGCCUAGCGUAGUGGCCGGUCGCCGCUCCGAGCAACCGAUUUUGCGUGCGCUACCGAUCCUCUUCGUCUUCUUCAUCGACGCGCGUGUCUUCGUCGACCAUGUUCGUUCUCGUGUGAUACUGGUGCAGUGACCUAUUUCCGAUUCUUUCGCAGCUGCAUUGGAGAACCGUACAAGUAGCGAUCGCGUGAACGUGAACGACUAAAGCGGAAGUGCAGAGAA